CCGGCGACCGGCGCACGGGUGAGUAACACGUAUGGAACCUGCCCGCAGCAGGGGGAUAAGCGGAAGAAAUUCCGUCUAAUACCGCGUAACAACGUUGGGAGGCAUCUCCCGAUGUUUAAAGAUUUAUCGGCUGCGGAUGGCCAUGCGGCGCAUUAGCUAGUCGGCGGGGUAACGGCCCACCGAGGCGACGAUGCGUAGGGGUUCCGAGAGGAAGGUCCCCCACACUGGUACUGAGACACGGACCAGACUCCUACGGGAGGCAGCAG
rnacentral:rRNA from 1 species